CCCUAUUUCACAAUUUAAGGUAACAUAUUCCCAUGAAGCAAAGAACCAAAUCCUAGCAGCAGAAAGGCUCAAACCGGCCGGUGGGAAGGGGACAGCGCACGCACAGAUUGAAGAUAGCUCGAAGCCUUGAAGUGUUUCGUUGCUUCAUUUCUUGCUCACCGAUCGUCUUGUAUAAGUGGUUCAUUAAGGAGUCUCAGGACGCGAACAGGAGACUGAAAACGAGAAAAUAUAUAAGGUUUUCCGAAAGAACGAAAGUUGGAAACCAUUGAGAAAAAAUUCUAUACGUUUAACUCUGCUUCCAGUGUAUAUAUGGGGAAGAGGGAAAAAAAAUUUGGCACUGUGUAUCAAGAUAUAUGCGGUGUGGUAAUCAGGUAUCCUAUUUUCCUCUCAAUAAAAGCUCACUCCAAAAUUGU